CUGAAUCAUUCACCAAAUGGCCAUAAGGCAAGUUCAGCCUCCUGGGCCUGGCGAUCUGAUGGUGGUCUCUCAGCAGCUUCCAGUCUGAUGAGGGUGUCUUGGCCCUGCCUGAGAGAGCCCUGCAUGAGAUUGUCCUUGUCCUAAGUCACCUGUCUGGAGCCAGGAGCUUCUUCUGGGUCUCCCAUGUGGCUGCAGGGCCCCAGGGACUUGCGCCGUUUUUCUGAUGCUUUCCCAGGUGCAUUUGCAGGGAGCUGGAUCAGAAGUGGAGCAGUUGGGACUUGAACCGGCGCCCGUAUGGGAUGCUAGCAUUGCAGGCAACAGCUUGACCCCGCCACGCCACAACACCAGCCCCCUGCCAUAGCAUGUUAUCUACAGUUUUUCAGAGCAGUGGUGGAGAAUUGGCUUGAGGGAAGGAAAUUGGGAGCGGGAAGGUGCAGCUCAUGGCAGGAGGUGCCAGGGAAGGUUGGGGACUAUUCCUCUUGGGCUCUGCCAUUGGACACACUGGACAUGGUGAUAGGGAAAUGACAGUGGCAGAGCCCUUUGAGGAACAGGAGAGUGGAAAUUCUAACAUAGCAGGUCCCUAACCGACCGAAGCAUUGACUUAAGUUUCUGCCGAGAAGGAACGUGCGCUCACAAGCUUGCAAGAAAUAGGGCGAGACUGUGGGCAGGAGGCAGCAUCAGCCCAGCCUCGGGCAGCUCUUGGAUGGCCUUUCAACAGGGACAGGCUCCAGCAGAGGCUCCGAGAGCUGUUGAGUGGUCAUGUCUUGGGCAGGACCAACGACUGAGGUAGCUGAACUCUCGGCUCUGCUCCUGGGAGCCGAGAGAAUCUGAGGUUGCUGUGGGUGAGGCUACACCGUUGGACCAGCCGUGGCACCACUGGCCCUCAGUCUCCAUGUCUGCCGUGCAUAGAGGAUCUUGCUGUCCAUCUCAAAAGAGUUCCAUCCCGAGGAGUGGGUGGGGGAAAGGUACAGGGAGAGGGCGUGAAAUGUGGACCCUGGGCUCUUGGUGUCUGUAGCUCCCGCAUGCUGAGUGUGAACCUGCUGCCUGGCCUAACCCAGGAUGAAUAAACUGGGGCCAAGAGUGGAA